UUACGCGGCAAUGCACGACUCUCAGUAUACAUGAAUUUCACGAAACGGCUAUCAGUUUCAAGUAACCUACGACGAAAUAUAUUGCGAUACGUGUAUCGAUCUUUAGAUUUCACGAGAUAGCGUAGUUCGCGUUUUGAUGCGCUAACGUCGGGGCAUAGGAUCUUUGGGGAUAUACGAGAUAUCCUGCAACGUUGGUGUUACGAAUAACAACAGAUAAAGUAAUAAUGAAAAAAGAGUCACGGGACUUUACUUACCGAUUAGGUCUGUAAAAGUGAUUCGUGCGAAAACCUCAACUUCCUCAUCGCCCAAAUCACCUAUUCUGCACGAGAGAUGAUUCGCCAGCAAGGGAUGGAUAUUACGCACAAGGAGAUCAACGAAAACUAAUGAUAAGCGCUAUUGCGUAUUUAUAAUUGAACGAAACAUUCAUCCACGCGUUAGGAAUGAUAUUUCUAUAAUCACAUUCAAUUCUCGUCUUUCCAAGUGCCUAUGUUCGUUUCAAUCAAGUACCAUUGACGCUAGCCGUUUGGACACGAAGAGGACAAUAGCAAGGCCUAAUUUCGCGAACAUGGAAAACGUCGAAGCCGAGGACUUUCAGGCCUCCCACGUAACGAGAUAAAUUGCCCUUGUACCCGUAGCGGACAUAGACGAUAACGCCUUAAAAAGGAACUGCUCCUCAGCCUCGCAAGUUCGCUUGAGGAGCCAAUCAACUACGAACUUCCAAAGCAAACACAUAGUCUGCCGCGAUAGUUCAAUGGAGUCACAUGAAUUACAGAAAUGAAAAGGGAUUCGAUCAAAUUUCUCUAUGAUUGUCUAUUCUCUAUUCGCUCUUCAUCUCAUACAAGUUGUUGAAGACUAACUCGCCGGAUAGUCGGUCGUGCGAAGAUCAGGCGGCCGUGUGACGAACUAUGGAUCCAAAAGAGGAACAAAUCCAUGUGAGUCAACCGCGACACAACAUUUAUCGUAUUUCAAAUGAAUCUCUCCUAUAAUUAAACUGCCAUGUUUACUGGUAGAAUUUCUUUAAAAAUAUUUCAAUAAUCAUUUUAAUACACGCAUAGUCGAGCUUGUUUUGAAAUUAAUCACAAAUUUCGUCACGAAAAGAAAAUUGGUUUCCAUGUAAGAAAUCAAGGACAAUGUAGAAAUGUCAAAAAGUGUGAGUGAUAGAAAAAAGUGUAAUGUGAAGCAGCGAAUAAGAAUAAAAAAUGGAAUUAUUGAAGUGGUUGUAGCCGCUACUUGUCACAGCUUGUAUGUGUACACGUACAUUUCUGUAUAUAUAUAGAUCAAGAAAAGGAAAAUGUCCAAUAAAAAGUUAAAAACCGCUCUUACAAAGCAUUAGGUAAUGUUGUGGGAACAAUAGAAUUUCAAAAGUAUUUGAGAACGAUAUUUACAAACCGCCUAUCUGUUCCUAUACUGUAUCGAACGAAAACUAGUCUAUUAUUAUUUCGUACUGUUGUUGUAAUUUUUCAAUUAAAGAAUUUUUUGGCAUGUUUGUAUGACAUGUACGGACAUGCCACAUGUAUCUCGUCGAGUAAGUAACAAAACUUGCUAGGCCAAAGUACAUUGAAGUACUAAAAGAAAAACAUUCCAGAUGAAGCAUUGCGAUUGAAGUUGAGAUUUUUCAUGCACCAAAGACGUUAAUGCGCCUAUACACCUUUUAAGUGACAAAUAAGUCAUUCUUACAUAAUCUUUGGAGAAAAAGCAAAGAGAUACAGAAGGAAAGCCUCUUUUAUAUUUUCUAAGCAGUGGAGCAUACUAAGUGAUUGAGUAUUCUUUUAAAAGCAGUUCUUCUUAAGUUUUUAUUAACUUUAUAGAGAAGGGAUUUUAACCAAAGUUUGCACGCACUAUGUUUCACUUAGAAAAAAUUCACAAUAGCUUUAUUGUUGUUGGUAGCCUGUGGAUAUUUAUAUUACUGAAAUAUGUAAAAAAAAUAUGUUAAUAUAAUACGUAAGAUAUAUUGGAAAUCAUAUUAUUUGAACAUCAAAGGCCAAUUUACGAGUAGAGAACUAUCGUUUGAUAUUAUAAGAUGUAACAGGCGCAUAUCUUUUACAUCAUUAACGAUUUCAGCUUGUAAGGUGUCAUUAAUUCGUAAUAUAGUUUUGAAACCGAAAUUUUUCUUUAAAAUUGUGUUCCAUUUGGACAUCGUCUUCUUCGAAAAUUUCUGAAAUACAUUCAUGUACAGCCUUUUGUACUCAUUGGCAGGAUUUAAAAAUGGUUCUUGGUAAGUAUACAAUUUUUUUAGUACAUAUUGGAGUAUACGUCUACUAUAUAUAUUGGUCUUUUUCGCAUCUAUAUCAAAAUAUUCAAUUAUGCGAUUCAAAACAAAAUUCAAUUAUUGAAUAUGUCACAAAAUACAAUCUCCUUAAUCAAUUUGGAAUUGAUUAACGGCUUCUUUACAUAUACAGUGUAGUACAAGUAAAAUAAAUGUGGAUAUUUAAUAGACUAUACAAACGGUUUUAAUCAUUUUGAUCGUUGUCUUUAUAAGCUCGAGAGUGUUUUAAAUGUGUGUGCCAGGAUUGACGUCCAUUCGCUAUAGGUGCUGAAAUAGACAUCCAUUAAAAUGUUUCAAAUGGAAAUUCGAGUAAGUAUUAAAUCAAAUAUUUCCUCUAUAAUCUAUAUUAGGAAAUCGUCAGUUGUUGUCAGAGACGCAUCGUUUUUGUUUUUUUUCUUUAUUAGCCAGUAAUACCAGUACGUAUGAAAUGUGUGACUUGUAUUGGUUCGUACCACAGACUCUUAGGAAGAAUGCGCUUUUAUUUGAAAAGAUUGAAAUAUUAAAAUCGUGUAUGAAAAAUAAAAUUCUUAGCUUUAAAUUGUUAUACAACGAUAGGUAUAUGAAGCCAAACACAUUUAUUAAAAAAGAAACAUAAUAAUUAAGAUUUGGAAAAUUGGUGCGAUAAAAUUCGACAUCUCACAACCUAAUGAAUGUUACGAGCGUUUGAAGUUGGUGAUAAGUGAAGUAGUUCUACGCGAAUAAAUGUUAAGCAUCCAUUAAUUAUCCAUUUUUUAAAUAAAUAUCCUUAUUAUUCGUGUAAAGUAUAUAAUUUCGAAUUACGCGUACACUGAGUAUUACACGUUGCUUCCUGUUCGUCGAAAUAAAAAUAUGCAGCAAGCAAACGCUUUGACAGUUGAUCGCGGUCGACCGAUAUCGCGAUAACGUAAUUCACCAACGAAACAGUAAUAAGACUAAAUUACAGUAAUAAGUUAUCUCACUUGUUUUAGCAUUUAGUUCGAAGAAUAAUCGUUUGCUAGUUACCCAAGGAGCAUGAUCAAUCUACGUUGUUAAUAAGAAUUAUAAGGUAAUAAUGUAGUCACUCGUCUAUUCUUUGAAGAAGCUUGAGCACGUAGUUGCCUGUGGCGAUAAAGCGACAGAGUGGUCAGAGUGGUCAAAAUGGAAGAGAGAAGGAAGCUGAACGAACGGUUGCUCGGCACGCGCGCGAUCGAGUUCAUGUGUACGACAGAGAUAGCUAGGACUGAGAGGAAGGUAAGGGAGUAAGGACGAAGUAGAGGGAGAGGAAGACAGAAGGUUUGUUCCGUUGCUGAAGUUAAUGGCACGGGAACAAGUAUAGGAGAGACUAGCUGUGCGUGUGCAAGAGGGUGCUGGGGAUCGGAGAGGGUCAGAGUGGAUCAGGGGCAGAGUGGCGGUAGAGCUGUAUCGAUGUCCGGGCGCGUUCACCACCGUCGGCACACACGCCGUGUCGGUAUCCUGCAAACGACUAGCACACGCCGUCACCUCUCUUCUGCACACGUUCGAGGCCAGUUUCAGCUUUCUCUUUCACUAACAUUAUACCGUCGUUUCCACUACUGCCGAUAACGGCGCCACUAUCGCCAUCGCUGAAACUGCUACCUAUCUUUCUUCCACCUGCAUCUUUUGCUGCUUCUGCUUUUCCUUUUCACUGCUCGCAUGGAAGAACGCUCUACUCGCUAACCUCGAUGUU